rnacentral:rRNA from 1 species
GGAGUGAGUAGAGCGGCGGACGGGUGAGUAACGCGUGGGAAUCUGCCUGGUAGUGGGGGACAACUCGGGGAAACUCCAGCUAAUACCGCAUACGCCCUACGGGGGAAAGCGGGGGAUCUUCCGACCUCCCGCUAUCAAAUGAACCCACGUCCGAAUAACUUGUUGGUGGGGUAACGGCCUACCAAGGCAACGAUCCCUAACUGGUUUGAGAAGAUGAUCAGCCACACUGGGACUGAAACACGGCCCAAACUCCUACGGGAGGCAGCAGUGGGGAAUAUUGCACAAUGGGGGAAACCCUGAUGCAGCCAUGCCGCGUGUGUGAAGAAGGCCUUCGGGUUGUAAAGCACUUUCAUUCCGGAGGAAGGCCUGUAAGUUAAUAACCUGUAAGAUUGACGUUACCGAAAGAAGAAGCACCGGCUAACUCCGUGCCAGCAGCCGCGGUAAUACGGAGGGUGCGAGCGUUAAUCGGAAUUACUGGGCGUAAAGCGCGCGUAGGCGGUUAGUUAAGCUGGAUGUGAAAGCCCAGGGCUCAACCUUGGAACUGCAUUCAGAACUGGCUGGCUAGAGUACGAGAGAGGGUAGUGGAAUUUCCUGUGUAGCGGUGAAAUGCGUAGAUAUAGGAAGGAACAUCAGUGGCGAAGGCGACUGCCUGGCUCGAUACUGACGCUGAGGUGCGAAAGCGUGGGGAGCAAACAGGAUUAGAUACCCUGGUAGUCCACGCCGUAAACGCUGUCUACUAGCCGUAGGGCUCCUUGAGGGCUUUGUGGCGCAGCUAACGCAAUAAGUAGACCGCCUGGGGAGUACGGCCGCAAGGUUAAAACUCAAAUGAAUUGACGGGGGCCCGCACAAGCGGUGGAGCAUGUGGUUUAAUUCGACGCAACGCGAAGAACCUUACCAGGGCUUGACAUCCUCGGAACUUUCCAGAGAUGGAUUGGUGCCUUCGGGAACCGAGUGACAGGUGCUGCAUGGCUGUCGUCAGCUCGUGUCGUGAAAAGGUUGGGUUAAGUCCCGUAACGGCGCAACCCUUGUCCCUGUUGCAGCACUUUGGGUGGGAACUCUAGGGAAACUGCCGUGACAACCGGAGGAAAGGGGGGGACGACAUC